UCCUAGCUCUUUGCCCUUAACAAAGCAAUAGAGAUAAAGUUCAUUAAGUAUAUUGUCUAAGGUAGGAAAGUGAAGAAGUUUUGCUGUAGCAAGCACUUAACCUGUGCACGAAAAAGAAAAUAAAAUAAUUGGAACAAAUUAUUUCUUACAAAAGCAAAGGUGAUAUGGACAUAUCAGUAUUGCAUGUUCUGCUGAGUUCACAAAAUUACCUAAAUGAAGAAACUCUGGAAUGGGAUGUAUUAUUAGACUUCAAUCAAUAGGAUUUUUUUCAAGCAGGUUGGGCAUCCAACCAUUUGAUGCAGAUCUUUUCCACACGCGAGAACACUGGAAUACCGGAAACUGCAGCAUUAAUGAACUACAAGGAAGACUGCAAAUGCCUAUGAUUUUAGAGUUAAUUUUGACAAUAAAAUAGUCAAGCAACUUUUACAGAUUUUUGAUACUUCUGUUGAAAUGCUGAAUCUUCAUUUCCUCUUACAUCAGGAGAAGGAUCACAUAAUUUCACCACUAUUUUGCACUCCUGGCAAGAGGACAUUCUCCUCCAAAACUUUGGCCACAUUAAGCAGACUCAACAAAAGGAAUGCCACUAAGUAAAAGGCACCUAUAUGCCUUUUACAGAUAGGAGGCACAUUCCCACCUUGGAAGAGGUAAAGAGCCUAUUUCUGAACACAAGAACUUUGAUUAUUUGACAAGCCAACAGACUUCCACGACCUCAUCCCUGCUGGAUGGCUAUAGCCUGUUGUGGGGGAUUUUUUGUCCCUGUGAAACCAACAAGACCUCAGGAAUCUGCAAGAAUAUUCCCUGGGAGAAGGCUCCAGAAUUUACAGCAGCGUGCACCAGUUGAUUUAUUGUCAGCUGCUGAGAAGCUCACAACUUCUAGCACUCUUCUUAUAUUCCAAAUUUUUUAAGAGGCAUGUUUGUUUCUCUUCUGGAUUUUUUUUUUUUUGUUAGCUUUUUUGGUUUUGUUUUGG